rnacentral:rRNA from 1 species
UUAAGUUAUUAAGGGCGCACGGUGGAUGCCUUGGCACUAGAAGCCGAUGAAGGACGUUACUAACGACGAUAUGCUUUGGGGAGCUGUAAGUAAGCUUUGAUCCAGAGAUUUCCGAAUGGGGAAACCCAGCAUGAGUUAUGUCAUGUUAUCGAUAUGUGAAUACAUAGCAUAUCAGAAGGCACACCCGGAGAACUGAAACAUCUUAGUACCCGGAGGAAGAGAAAGAAAAUUCGAUUCCCUUAGUAGCGGCGAGCGAAAUGGGAAGAGCCCAAACCAACAAGCUUGCUUGUUGGGGUUGUAGGACACUCUAUACGGAGUUACAAAGGACGACAUUAGACGAAUCAUCUGGAAAGAUGAAUCAAAGAAGGUAAUAAUCCUGUAGUCGAAAAUGUUGUCUCUCUUGAGUGGAUCCUGAGUACGACGGAGCACGUGAAAUUCCGUCGGAAUCUGGGAGGACCAUCUCCUAAGGCUAAAUACUCUCUAGUGACCGAUAGUGAACCAGUACCGUGAGGGAAAGGUGAAAAGCACCCCGGAAGGGGAGUGAAAUAGAACCUGAAACCGUGUGCUUACAAGUAGUCAGAGCCCGUUAAUGGGUGAUGGCGUGCCUUUUGUAGAAUGAACCGGCGAGUUACGAUUUGAUGCAAGGUUAAGCAGUAAAUGUGGAGCCGUAGCGAAAGCGAGUCUGAAUAGGGCGUUUAGUAUUUGGUCGUAGACCCGAAACCAGGUGAUCUACCCUUGGUCAGGUUGAAGUUCAGGUAACACUGAAUGGAGGACCGAACCGACUUACGUUGAAAAGUGAGCGGAUGAACUGAGGGUAGCGGAGAAAUUCCAAUCGAACCUGGAGAUAGCUGGUUCUCUCCGAAAUAGCUUUAGGGCUAGCCUCAAGUGAUGAUUAUUGGAGGUAGAGCACUGUUUGGACGAGGGGCCCCUCUCGGGUUACCGAAUUCAGACAAACUCCGAAUGCCAAUUAAUUUAACUUGGGAGUCAGAACAUGGGUGAUAAGGUCCGUGUUCGAAAGGGAAACAGCCCAGACCACCAGCUAAGGCCCCAAAAUAUAUGUUAAGUGGAAAAGGAUGUGGCGUUGCCCAGACAACUAGGAUGUUGGCUUAGAAGCAGCCAUCAUUUAAAGAGUGCGUAAUAGCUCACUAGUCGAGUGACACUGCGCCGAAAAUGUACCGGGGCUAAACAUAUUACCGAAGCUGUGGAUUGUCCUUUGGACAAUGGUAGGAGAGCGUUCUAAGGGCGUUGAAGCAUGAUCGUAAGGACAUGUGGAGCGCUUAGAAGUGAGAAUGCCGGUGUGAGUAGCGAAAGACGGGUGAGAAUCCCGUCCACCGAUUGACUAAGGUUUCCAGAGGAAGGCUCGUCCGCUCUGGGUUAGUCGGGUCCUAAGCUGAGGCCGACAGGCGUAGGCGAUGGAUAACAGGUUGAUAUUCCUGUACCACCUAUAAUCGUUUUAAUCGAUGGGGGGACGCAGUAGGAUAGGCGAAGCGUGCGAUUGGAUUGCACGUCUAAGCAGUAAGGCUGAGUAUUAGGCAAAUCCGGUACUCGUUAAGGCUGAGCUGUGAUGGGGAGAAGACAUUGUGUCUUCGAGUCGUUGAUUUCACACUGCCGAGAAAAGCCUCUAGAUAGAAAAUAGGUGCCCGUACCGCAAACCGACACAGGUAGUCAAGAUGAGAAUUCUAAGGUGAGCGAGCGAACUCUCGUUAAGGAACUCGGCAAAAUGACCCCGUAACUUCGGGAGAAGGGGUGCUCUUUAGGGUUAACGCCCAGAAGAGCCGCAGUGAAUAGGCCCAAGCGACUGUUUAUCAAAAACACAGGUCUCUGCUAAACCGUAAGGUGAUGUAUAGGGGCUGACGCCUGCCCGGUGCUGGAAGGUUAAGAGGAGUGGUUAGCUUCUGCGAAGCUACGAAUCGAAGCCCCAGUAAACGGCGGCCGUAACUAUAACGGUCCUAAGGUAGCGAAAUUCCUUGUCGGGUAAGUUCCGACCCGCACGAAAGGCGUAACGAUUUGGGCACUGUCUCAACGAGAGACUCGGUGAAAUCAUAGUACCUGUGAAGAUGCAGGUUACCCGCGACAGGACGGAAAGACCCCGUGGAGCUUUACUGUAGCCUGAUAUUGAAAUUCGGCACAGCUUGUACAGGAUAGGUAGGAGCCUUUGAAACGUGAGCGCUAGCUUACGUGGAGGCGCUGGUGGGAUACUACCCUAGCUGUGUUGGCUUUCUAACCCGCACCACUUAUCGUGGUGGGAGACAGUGUCAGGCGGGCAGUUUGACUGGGGCGGUCGCCUCCUAAAAGGUAACGGAGGCGCUCAAAGGUUCCCUCAGAAUGGUUGGAAAUCAUUCAUAGAGUGUAAAGGCAUAAGGGAGCUUGACUGCGAGACCUACAAGUCGAGCAGGGUCGAAAGACGGACUUAGUGAUCCGGUGGUUCCGCAUGGAAGGGCCAUCGCUCAACGGAUAAAAGCUACCCCGGGGAUAACAGGCUUAUCUCCCCCAAGAGUUCACAUCGACGGGGAGGUUUGGCACCUCGAUGUCGGCUCAUCGCAUCCUGGGGCUGUAGUCGGUCCCAAGGGUUGGGCUGUUCGCCCAUUAAAGCGGUACGCGAGCUGGGUUCAGAACGUCGUGAGACAGUUCGGUCCCUAUCCGUCGUGGGCGUAGGAAAUUUGAGAGGAGCUGUCCUUAGUACGAGAGGACCGGGAUGGACAUACCUCUGGUGUACCAGUUGUCGUGCCAACGGCAUAGCUGGGUAGCUAUGUGUGGACGGGAUAAGUGCUGAAAGCAUCUAAGCAUGAAGCCCCCCUCAAGAUGAGAUUUCCCAACUUCGGUUAUAAGAUCCCUCAAAGAUGAUGAGGUUAAUAGGUUCGAGGUGGAAGCAUGGUGACAUGUGGAGCUGACGAAUACUAAUCGAUCGAAGACUUAAUCAA